rnacentral:hammerhead_ribozyme from 1 species
GUAUUUAUGAGGUGUCCCAUACUAGGACGAAACGGCCGUCCAAUAC